rnacentral:lncRNA from 1 species
UUCGAGAAAUCUAUUAAUUGUGAGCUACUAGUAGUGUACUCUUGUAACACAUUCAACCCUUCCUGAGAUGGUCAUCACAUGAUUUUUGUUUUUCUGCCCUGCAUGCCCAGUCUUGGAUUUCUAUUCUUCUAAAUUUAAAAUCCUUCUUUGAAAAAUCAGACCAUAAAGAGAGAGAACGAGUCAUGCAGCUAAGAAGAGAACCUAGGUCUGAGAUAUGACUUCUCAUCCUAUAGCUUCUGCUCUUAAACCUUGUCAGCUGGAGCAUCCCUGGAAGUGUCCAAGGUCAGGCUAGAUGGGCCUUUGAACAACCUGAUGAAGCAGAAGAUAUCCCUGGAUCCGUGUGCAUGACAGUUUUGAAUGUGGACUAUGGAAGCAUGGUUUGGUGUCAGCCACAGAGAGAGAACAGCAAUCCCUGCUGGAAAUGGCUUGGGAAUACCAUGGAGGAAGCAGGAGCAUUGGUGAGAUUUUGAAGAUGGAAGAGUGAAACAUGAGGUGCUAAAUCUGAGACUGUGGCUGCUAAAAUGAGCUGGGGAACAUCAGAGAGCAGGAAUUACUGCAUUUCCUGAGAGUGCUGCAGAACCUCUGAGCCUUUUAUUUCGAGUAGUAGAAAUCCACAUGGGUCUCAAGAAGCGUUAAAAUAACAGGUUUUGAAAGCAACAGUUUUUCAUAAAGGCAAAAAUAUAUUUUAUAUGUAUCCUAUGCUCUGUGUUUAUCUGGUUUGCCCAUUCCAGGUCCCUUGAGCAGAUAAUGCUGCAGGUCUCAGCUCCCACACCCUCCGCCCUCAGCUACCUCACCUUCCAUCCUGGCUGCUGUGCUGUACAUCAUUUCAAAGGGGCACAGCUGG